rnacentral:rRNA from 1 species
GACGAACGCUGGCGGCGUGCUUAACACAUGCAAGUCGAACGGAAAGGCCCUUCGGGGUACUCGAGUGGCGAACGGGUGAGUAACACGUGGGUGAUCUGCCCUGCACUUUGGGAUAAGCCUGGGAAACUGGGUCUAAUACCGAAUAGGACCACGCGCUUCAUGGUGUGUGGUGGAAAGCUUUUGCGGUGUGGGAUGGGCCCGCGGCCUAUCAGCUUGUUGGUGGGGUAAUGGCCUACCAAGGCGACGACGGGUAGCCGGCCUGAGAGGGUGACCGGCCACGCUGGGACUGGGAUACGGCCCGGACUCCUACGGGAGGCAGCAGUGGGGAAUAUUGCACAAUGGGCGCAAGCCUGAUGCAGCGACGCCGCGUGAGGGAUGACGGCCUUCGGGUUGUAAACCUCUUUCAAUAGGGACGAAGCGCAAGUGACGGUACCUAUAGAAGAAGCACCGGCCAACUACGUG